UGUGUGCUAUUUUAGCCUGAAGGCCAUGUGAGUGUGUCAUGGAUCAAAGAGUGUCAGUCAUGCUUCAUUCUGGUGACAAGAAUGAUGCUGUUUCAUUUUCAUGUCAGUCUAGACAUGACUCAUAUAUUCUUGUUAGAAUUCUGAUUUUAUAGAAGUCUUAAGAGAUAUUCUACACAUUUACGUAGUCAGCAAGCAGGAAAAAUAGAAGAGCAAAGCCACUGCUCUCAGUAGAGCCUGUAAUUUGAAGUUUUGUAAAAACACACAUUUAUUUUUUAAAUUCAGUUGUAUCCAAGAACAUGCUCGUGAAAUGAAGUGUAAACUGAAACUUUCUCACUGCAGAUGAAAUACUACCUGCAGAAGCAGCUGCAGCCCCGUGGAAGCCAGGAGGGAAUCCGGUUGCCUCAGGUGGAGCCUGGCAGCUGGACACCUGAGGGUUGCUUCACUCUACUUCUAGCCUGGGACUUUGUUUUGCAUAAUCUUUUUUCAAACCAGUCUUUUAUCUGUGAAUGCCCUCUGCCUCUGUUCAGCUGUUAAUGGCAUAUUGUCUUGGCCUGAGAAAAUGAGGGACUGAAUCAGUGCUGUAGCUUUCAGCUGUUUCCAUCCCUUUGGAGGAAGGGGGAAGUUGUCACUGAAGUCCCAAAGAGGUUGAUGUCUUUGCAGAGACACUUCUGGUCUUGGUCUUGAAUUGCCAGAGAUGGCCUGCAUGGCUGUUUGCUGAAGUCUUCAUCUAGAAAUGACUACUCUCUGAUCCUGAGGCAGCGGAGAUGGCCCAAGCCACCAGACAAAAGCAGUUCCCGAGGGAUGCACUCUCCCAGGACUGAGACGCUAUACAGAAAACUUUAGGCACUGAAACAGUCAGAAGAAGAAAACAUGAUAUGAUUUAACUUCAGUCAUAACUCAGACAACCACAACGUAACAGAAAAACAAAACCAAGAAGAAAUGCCGACAGCUACUGAUAAAAUUCAAGUGUAGUUGCCAGGGUAAAAAAAAAGAUGUAAUAAGUCCAAAUGUUUAGAAUAAUAAAGGAUUAAAUUAAGCAAAA